rnacentral:rRNA from 1 species
CCCCCCCUCGGACGGGUAAUAGAUUGCUAUCUUUGCCGGCGAGCGGCGGACGGGUGAGUAAUGCCUAGGGAUCUGCCCAGUCGAGGGGGAUAACAGUUGGAAACGACUGCUAAUACCGCAUACGCCCUACGGGGGAAAGGAGGGGACCUUCGGGCCUUCCGCGAUUGGAUGAACCUAGGUGGGAUUAGCUAGUUGGUGAGGUAAUGGCUCACCAAGGCGACGAUCCCUAGCUGUUCUGAGAGGAUGAUCAGCCACACUGGGACUGAGACACGGCCCAGACUCCUACGGGAGGCAGCAGUGGGGAAUAUUGCACAAUGGGGGAAACCCUGAUGCAGCCAUGCCGCGUGUGUGAAGAAGGCCUUCGGGUUGUAAAGCACUUUCAGUAGGGAGGAAAGGUAACAGCUUAAUACGCUGUUGCUGUGACGUUACCUACAGAAGAAGGACCGGCUAACUCCGUGCCAGCAGCCGCGGUAAUACGGAGGGUCCGAGCGUUAAUCGGAAUUACUGGGCGUAAAGCGUGCGCAGGCGUUCUGUUCAUCGAGAUGUGAAAGCCCCGGGCUCAACCUGGCAAUUGCAUUUCAACCUGGCCAACUAGAGCCU